AAAAUACUCCCUCCGUUCCAUAAUUCUUGUCGAAAUAUUACAUGUAUCUAGACGCUUUCUAAGAAUAGGUACAUCCAUUUUUGGGCAAAUUUGAGACAAGAAUUAUGGAACGGAGGGAGUAUAUC
rnacentral:pre_miRNA from 1 species